rnacentral:rRNA from 1 species
UACGGAGGGUGCAAGCGUUAUCCGGAUUCACUGGGUUUAAAGGGUGCGUAGGCGGGUAGAUAAGUCAGUGGUGAAAUCUUCGAGCUUAACUCGGAAAUUGCCGUUGAUACUAUUUAUCUUGAAUAUCGUUGAGGUUUGCGGAAUAUGUCAUGUAGCGGUGAAAUGCUUAGAGAUGACAUAGAACACCUAUUGCGAAGGCAGCAGGCUAAACGAACAUUGACGCUGAGGCACGAAAGCGUGGGGAUCAAACAGG